rnacentral:rRNA from 1 species
AGUGAACGCUGGCGGUAGGCCUAACACAUGCAAGUCGAACGGCAGCACAGUAGGAGCUUGCUCUUACGGGUGGCGAGUGGCGGACGGGUGAGGAAUACAUCGGAAUCUACUUUUUCGUGGGGGAUAACGUAGGGAAACUUACGCUAAUACCGCAUACGACCUACGGGUGAAAGCAGGGGAUCUUCGGACCUUGCGCGAUUGAAUGAGCCGAUGUCGGAUUAGCUAGUUGGCGGGGUAAAGGCCCACCAAGGCGACGAUCCGUAGCUGGUCUGAGAGGAUGAUCAGCCAUACUGGAACUGAGACACGGUCCAGACUCCUACGGGAGGCAGCAGUGGGGAAUAUUGGACAAUGGGCGCAAGCCUGAUCCAGCCAUACCGCGUGGGUGAAGAAGGCCUUCGGGUUGUAAAGCCCUUUUGUUGGGAAAGAAAAGCAGCAGGUUAAUACCCCGCUGUUCUGACGGUACCCAAAGAAUAAGCACCGGCUAACUUCGUG